rnacentral:rRNA from 1 species
UGGCUCAGGACGAACGCUGGCGGCGCGCCUUACGCAUGCAAGUCGAACGGACCUUCGGGUCAGUGGCGGACGGCUGAGUAACGCGUAGGAAACCUACCCGGUGGCGGGGGAUAACCCGCCGAAAGGUGAGCUAAUACCGCAUAAGCUUCCAGGGUGAAACCCCCUGGAAGGAAAGCAGUAAUGCGCCACCGGAGGGUCCUGCGUCUUAUCAGGUAGUUGGUGGGGUAACGGCCUACCAAGCCGAUGACGGGUAGCUGGUCUGAGAGGACGACCAGCCAGAAGGGGACUGAGACACGGCCCCUACUCCUACGGGAGGCAGCAGCGAGGAAUCUUGGGCAAUGGGCGAAAGCCUGACCCAGCGACGCCGCGUGAGGGAUGAAGGCCUUCGGGUCGUAAACCUCUUUUAUGGGAGAAGAAGUUCUGACGGUAUCCCAUGAAUAAGCCACGGCUAACUACGUGCCAGCAGCCGCGGUAAUACGUAGGUGGCGAGCGUUGUCCGGAUUUACUGGGCGUGAAGGGCUUGUAGGCGGUCCGUUAAGUCCGAUGUGAAAUCUCCCGGCUCAACUGGGAGAGGUCAUUGGAUACUGGCGGACUAGAGGGGGGUAGA